AUAGAGCUGGCUGGUGACGUAGGAGGAGUGAGCUCAGACAUGAUAUUGUAAAUGCAAUUGAAAACUACGCAGCUGUCUUUAAAGAGACCUGAAGCCUCAACCACCAGAAAUAAAUAACAAGUAAGAAUGAUUUAGUUGACUUUUCCAGCUGCAAAUAAUGCAUUCAGAAAUUAAAUAUGCACCAAACAUAAGACGAUGAAGCUGGAUCUCAAUCUAGAUGGGAAGAUGGAAGCUUUUCUCUAUACAAUUUAGAAGCAACACAGAUUGGUCUGCAACAAAACCAAUGGAAGGCUUACUUCGCAGGAGAGAUGGUACCGACACUUGUUCCUAAUCCGAGUUCCAGUGUCGGCAUCAUAUCUUCUACGGAGCAAGCCGAAGAUUUGAAUAUACAAUGCGAAGAAUGGUGCCCCAAGUUCAUCUAUCUUCUCCUUUAGAGUUUAGGACUUGGAUUAGUGUCGAUAUCCAAAUUCCUUUCGAAGUAUCAGCAUAACGUCUCGAUCUAUUUAGUUUCAACUUUCAACCUCACAAAUCAGAGCUUUUCCCACAACAAACUAGAUUGAACUUUACUUCAUGUGAAUCAAAGGGUUCAAGCAAUUGAGUAGGCAGAUUCAUAAUGGAAAAGCAACCGGUUGUGAUCAUAAUAAUAUCAAGAAAA